AGGCAGCAGUGGGGAAUAUUGCACAAUGGGCGCAAGCCUGAUGCAGCCAUGCCGCGUGUAUGAAGAAGGCCUUCGGGUUGUAAAGUACUUUUCAGCAGUGAGGAAGGUGGAGUCGUUAAUAGCGGCCUCAUUUGACGUUAGCUGCAGAAGAAGCACCGGCUAACUCCGUGCCAGCAGCCGCGGUAAUACGGAGGGUGCGAGCGUUAAUCGGAAUUACUGGGCGUAAAGCGCAUGCAGGUGGUUUGUUAAGUCAGAUGUGAAAGCCCGGGGCUCAACCUCGGAAUUGCAUUUGAAACUGGCAGACUAGAGUACUGUAGAGGGGGUAGAAUUUCAGGUGUAGCGGUGAAAUGCGUAGAGAUCUGAAGGAAUACCGGUGGCGAAGGCGGCCCCCUGGACAGAUACUGACACUCAGAUGCGAAAGCGUGGGGAGCAAACAGGAUUAGAUACCCUGGUAG
rnacentral:rRNA from 1 species